GACGAACGCUGGCGGCGUGCUUAACACAUGCAAGUCGAACGAAGUGGCGCACGGGUGAGUAACGCGUAAUCAACCUGCCCUUCAGAGGGGAACAACAGUUGGAAACGACUGCUAAUACCGCAUACUGAAGGAGGUGAUUGCGUCUGAUUAGCUAGUUGGUGGGGUAACGGCCCACCAAGGCGAUGAUCACUAGCCGGGCUGAGAGGAUGAACGGCCACAUUGGGACUGAGACACGGCCCAGACUCCUACGUGAGGCAGCAGUGGGGAAUCUUCCGCAAUGGACGCAAGUCUGACGCAGCAACGCCGCGUGAGUGAUGAAGGCCUUCGGGUUGUAAAGCUCUGUUGGUAGGGAAGCGGUAUCUAAAGAGAAAGCAACGGCUAACUACGUGCCAGCAGCCGCGGUAAUUC
rnacentral:rRNA from 1 species